CUCUACUACCGAGACAGAACUACUACACCCUCCGUCCAAUAUCUCAAUUUCUAAUAACCUUAUUCACGGUUCUAUCACUAUAUAAACUCUAUGUCUUUCACCAUUUUCAUAAGAACACACUACACUACCUACACUUCAUAAGAUAUCAUAAGAGAACAAUGAAUAACAGAAUGGGUCGUGUUGCAUCUGCUGAAGUUGCUGACAACAGAAACAGGUUCAGAAGCAAAAGGCCACUUCCAAAAAGAGGACUGAUAAAAUCAAAGAUUGCUGCCAAUGCUUUUCAUUCAAUUGUUUCUAUAAUUUCAAGGGCCUCUUCUUCAUCUGGUUUAUACUCUCCAAGAAAAAACUAG